GUGGGGAAUAUUGCGCAAUGGGGGAAACCCUGAUGCAGCGACGCCGCGUGAAGGAAGACGUACUUCGGUAUGUAAACUUCUAUCAGCAGGGAAGAAGAUGACGGUACCUGACUAAGAAGCCCCGGCUAACUACGUGCCAGCAGCCGCGGUAAUACGUAGGGGGCAAGCGUUAUCCGGAUUUACUGGGUGUAAAGGGAGCGUAGACGGUGAAGCAAGUCUGAUGUGAAAACCCGGGGCUCAACUCCGGGAUUGCAUUGGAAACUGUUUUACUUGAGUGCUGGAGGGGCAAGCGGAAUUCCUGGUGUAGCGGUGAAAUGCGUAGAUAUCAGGAAGAACACCGGUGGCGAAGGCGGCUUGCUGGACAGUAACUGACGUUGAGGCUCGAAAGCGUGGGGAGCAAACAGGAUUAGAUACCCCAGUAGUCC
rnacentral:rRNA from 1 species